rnacentral:hammerhead_ribozyme from 1 species
AUCCAACUGACGAGUCCUAAAUAGGACGAAAUGCGCAUCCUGACAGAU